rnacentral:rRNA from 1 species
UGGGGAAUUAUUGGACAAUGGGCGAAAGCCUGAUCCAGCCAUUGCCGCGUGUGUGAAGAAGGUCUUCGGAUUCGUAAAGCACUUCUAAGUUCGGGAGGAAGGGUAGUAACUUAAUACGUUCGCUACUUUCGACGUUACCGACAGAAUAAGCACCGGCUAACUUCGUGCCAGCAGCCGCGGUAAUACGAAGGGUGCAAGCGUUAAUCGGAAUUACUGGGCGUAAAGCGCGCGUAGGUGGUUCAGUAAGUUGGAAGUGAAAUCCCCGGGCUCAACCUGGGAACUGCUUUCAAAACUGCUGAGCUAGAGUACGGUAGAGGGUAGUGGAAUUUCCUGUGUAGCGGUGAAAUGCGUAGAUAUAGGAAGGAACACCAGUGGCGAAGGCGACUACCUGGACUGAUACUGACACUGAGGUGCGAAAGCGUGGGAGCAAACAGGAUUAGAUACCCUGGUAGUCCACGCCGUAAACGAUGUCAACUAGCCGUUGGGAGUCUUGAACUCUUAGUGGCGCAGCUAACGCAUUAAGUUGACCGCCUGGGGAGUACGGCCGCAAGGUUA